UGCUGCAGGAAGAAUAUGAAGUGAGUGGGGUCAGCAGACUUGCUGUCAAUUUUUUUGUGUUGACAGCAAGUAGAUGAAGCAUCUUGUCUACAGUACUUCUUCCCUGUCUGCACAGAAGUCUUCAACCCAUGCCAGGCCUGCAGGGCCGAGGGAGAAGUGAUGCUGGAAUAGGAUGGCCCCCACAUCUUCUGCAAAAACUCCUGGUUUUGUCAUUAUGAACACUUUGUUUAGCGUUGUUCUUGUGAGAGACAGGGCUGAAUUUGCUCAGCCUGAUUUAUUGAUCAUACAAGGGCCUCUCAUCCGGAGAAACCACAUCUUGUGUGUUUAGUCCUGCCUAUUUCAAAGCAUUUCAUUGUCUCUGAGGGGGGUAGACAGUGGGAUGAUGAUGAUCUUUACCCACUGCAAUGCUGGUGAGCUGUUGCUGUCUUUUUGUGCUUGAGUGGGUCAGGAUAUGCCUAUGCCAUUGCCAUAUGAAAACAGGCACAGAGACCUCAAUCGUCCCCGCAGCGGAGGCAGGGGCAGGCAGGGGCUGGUGCGAAGCCUGAACUUUGAGUCAUCUCUUCAUCAGCCUUCUCUCUAUUAACUUCUAGUGACUGCUACUGUGAAAGCUUGUGGAAGGCACUUCAGUCACUGAGGUACGAGUUUUAAGAGUAAAUAGUUAAAGAAGGAUUUAAUGAUGUGAACAGGUUUUACAAGCAUUUUUCCUUUCCACAAGGGUCUUGCUCCUUCCUCACUGUAGUGUUAGUGCUAGAGUUAUAGACACCUGUUGGUGGGAAGCCCUGCUCAAGGAGAUUGCAGCUGCUUUCCUGACAGCUCAGCCUGGAGCCUCCUGAAAGUAGUUCCCCACCCCAGUCCCAGAGCUGUACUUGUGUUCUGGCUCUCUGGAUAGCUGCAGUAUUUAACAGCACCACUUAUGCUAGCCUUCCUCAAAGGGCUGGGCUGGGCCUUUCUGCCCACUUACAGCCUUGACUCUUCCUACACUUUUCAGGGGAGUGUUGUACUACCGAUUAAGCAGUGUAAUGCUUGUCAGAAAUCUGGAGAGUUGUCAGACCUCUCUUUGAGGCCUAAGGCCUAGAAACAGUGGUGUUGCCAGAAGUCAGAACAGCAUGGCCUUGAAGUGAUCUGGACGCAUGGAUCUAGGAGAUGCAAAAACUGAGCUUGGGAGUGGGAGUAUCCUUGAGAGAAACUGAGUCUUGUUUUAUCACAGCACUGACAAGGAGCUACACUUUCUGAAAUACUAGAUAUUUAAUUUUGUUAGAACUGGGCUUAUUCUUUCCUGUGAAUGUGUCAGAAACAUGAUGGAGCUUAGCUCUACCAGUUUUUUUGCUGCAGUAUUGCUGUGCCACACCCUCAUAAGCAGUGCUAUUUUGGUGGCAGAGAAUGGGUUCUUAUCCCCAAACAAAUCAGCUCUUCUGUUGAGUUAAAGCAGUGUUAAUCCUUGAAGCACCACCCACAAGCGAUUUAACUCAGGCCUUACAGGUUCCUAAUUGUACAUCCCUAACUGUGAUGUAACUUGCAAGGCACUAUAUCCAUACCACUGCAGCCUGUCCUUCCAAGCUGUUUUUGUAGUCUGUACUCUUCCGCUAUGCUGUAUGACCAGGAGGACAAUCCAUAGGGAGGUGGCAGAACUUGCUGCUGAUCCAAGAUAAGGUUAAUCCAGAAAAGGAUGCCAGUUUCCACAGUGCAGUACAACACCUGUCCCCUCCCCUGCACUCCAGCUACAUGCAACAAUUUGAAAUUAGACCGCAGUAGCAAGCCAAGCACCCAUUUGAAUGUGUCCUCUGGUCAAUUUUGUGUGGCUGUAAAUUAACAUAUUUAGUGUCUGGAUGCUAACGAUGAUGUUAGCUGUAAAGGUACCACAGUUAACUGUAAAUAAUAUGGGUCACUUGGAAGCCACAAACUGCCUUUGCAUAAUGUUUGCUAUGCAGCAGACUGAAAGUUCAGGUGCCACUGUGAAUCAUACGAUAAAUACAAGCAGCAGUCAGCAAGGGAGACUGAAUGUCAGGUUUUAGUAAAGUGGAUGAAAUCCAGAAGAAAAAUUAUAAAAGCCACUUAGAUAAAACUAGGAUGCAUCCUCACCAUGACGGUUGGUUGGUUGGUUAGUUAAUUCAGAGUAACUGGAAAGCUCUUGAGAAUAAUUAGUAGCUUCAUACAGAGCACAUUCAAUAGCUGGAGACUUGAGCCUUCUUAGAUGGAAAGGAGGGGAAGUGUGUUGGGGGGAGGAAGACUUCAAAACAGAUGGGGCAAGUGAGGAGUCAGCUGCAAGCUAAUGAUGCUUUCUUGAGAGCAGGGCAAAAGGGAUGCUCAGCAGUGUUAGAUCACCAGGGCAGAAUGGCUUAAAAAAAAAUGCUUUGUUUGACCUGGUAACUAAGUGCUUUCCUGCAGGAUGUAACCGAGGCCAAUAGCUUAGAGAACCCAAAGGAAGUGGAUGUUUAAGGAAUGAAUAACAGGUAGAGUUCAAGGUCUCUUAAUCCUCAGCUGUAGCCAGACAAGAAUAUCCUCUUUCAAGGUUUAGCUGCACAAUUAUGUACGUUAGGAGGCAUUUAAUUCUUCUUAUGUAUCUAAUGUUGAUGACUUCUCAAGAUGGACACAGGAGCACACAUGAGCUCUCUACUAGGGUUACUAUUUCAAGCCUUCUGCUAUGUUUCUCUGUGUGGUAGAAUUCCUGCCCCUUACUGUUUCUGCAUUUCCAGUUUAGCAGAUGGUGCAAGAAACUGGAAAAUGACCAAACAAUUCUCCCUUUCUUGCUCUUGCUCCCAUCUUUGUAACAAGAUGAAUCACUUCAAUACAAAGCUUAGCUUCCUUGCUAACAAACAAGUCAGCAUCCCCCUGUGACAGAGAGGAUUAGUGCAAUCCAAUUUUAUGCCGUAAGAAACCUGAGGGUACAAUGAAAGACGAACUUUUGCACUUCCACUUCUUUCCUCCCUCAUCCACCUGCUCUGGCUUCUGGUCUGCCUUUAACCAUAAGGAAAAAAAGGCUGGAGAUAAGUUUUUUCACUUCUGCAGUCUUUACAGCUACAGAGAAGGAAUAAAAAUAAGGAACUAGACUGUAACUCAUACUCCUUAGUGCCUGCAGAACAAAAAAGAUGGAUCUUGAGGAGCCCUAUUAAUUAUUUAAUGUUAACUAUUAAUAUGAUCGCUCAUGUAGCUCUGGGGUGUAAAUUUCACUGUUCAGUAGGUCUCAUCUGAUGUCUGUUCUGCAGUACAAGUCCUUCUGAACUCUGUGGAAGGGAACUGCAUCUAUACACUAGGAGUGGAUAGACACUGCUUAUGUUGUAUGUGAAGUCUAGGUGAGCUUUGAAAGACUUGAACAAAUGAUGACCUACUAUUAGCAAAACUAUUUUAAAUGUAAUGCAAACCUUGAAAUAAGAGUUCCUCUUAAUACUUUUAUGUAGACAAGUCCCUUGAUACCUGGCCAACUGCAAUUUUUUUAAUGGAUGAAUGGAUUAGUGAGCAAAACUUUCAGCUACAGUGUCACUCUGAUAUACAAACUUCAUAUACUAAAGAGCGGGGUUGGGUGUCCAUCAGUCUGACACACUAGCCUUUUUUUUAACUCUGAUAUGAUAAGCUAAAUGAGUCUUUAGGAACUUAAGGUACGUUAGCAAAUGUUUUAGCUGGGAGUGGAGUGCUUUUUUUCAGUUGACUAUUUUACCUGUGUGCCAUUGUUUGGGUCAGUACAUAGUAUGCGUCGAUCUACCAGAAUGACUCCAGAACUGUGACUGAAACAUAGUUUCUGUUCAUGCAGUAGCUGUAUUGCUGUUACCAGAUCUGCUUAACAUGAAGAAUUUUUUUUUUUUCUUAAGUAUUUCGGGUGAAAGCCUUAACCAGGUGCCUGCCCCGUAAGGUAGGCUCACAUGUGGUGUUGUAUAGACUGAAACAUGACUGUCCUUAAAAUUGUGGAGUUUAAGAAACCAUAAUGAACAGAAGAAUGCUCCUGUUGCCAAAGGGCAAGAGUCUGGAUUAGAUGGGCUUGACCUUGCUCCAGUGGCUCUGGCUAAUCACUUCAGGGUGAUUGCUUUAGCCACUUGCUCCUUCUAAGUGAAGUAUUUCAAGUGGUCCUGAUGAUCAGGCACUAGAUAUAAGCAGGAGGUGCCCUGUGUCCCAUGCAUACAGUGUGUGCAAGUCUGGCUGAAAUAACACCGCAUAUUCCAGUGGUCUUGCACUGUUGUCCUGUCAACAUUAAGACCUGCAUUAUGGAUUUAUAACUUAACCUAAGAAAGCAAGUGCUAUUCUGGCUUGGUGUUUGCUCUGCCAGAGCAAGGUGGAGAUGGUCCCUCUACAGCCAAGCUGAACUCCUUAGGGAAUUUAAUAUGUCUGUUUUCUGAGCAGGUGUUUACUUGUAUCACAACCACUCUCCUUCAGUGGUGCCCUGGCCCUGUCUGCUCAAGAGCAACUCAACUUAGGCCCAGAAGGCUACUGAAUCCCCCGUAAUCUCUGCAGAGCAGAGCUUCCCUCCAGGUUAGGGUUGAGAUGGUGCUAGUGGGACCAGAAUGGUCCCCUUCCAUGCAAAUCAGUAUUCUACUCUAGCACUGAUAGGGUGCUCCAAAACCAUUUACAUCUUUGUCACUGGUACAGCUCAGAACUAAGAAAUGGAAGGUUUCUUUCUUUAAGAACAAUAUCAUGUAUGUCUUUUUGUAAUUAAUCAGUGUGAUUCUGUGUUCUUAUGUAGCCAACACAGAACUUGUAUUUAGAUUUAGUUCUUACUGCACUUCCCAUAGCCCUCAUGUUGAUACUUCUUCCUGCUUCCUUUGACACUUAGACAAUAAAAUUCCCUCUGUACUGCUCUCGGCUUGUGCGGAGAAAACAA